rnacentral:lncRNA from 1 species
UGGAAGAGACCUCAGAAUUGUUGAAAGAUCAAAUACCAAGGCAGUGGCAAAUGAAGGCUCACUUUCUGUAUUCUUCUAUUACAUCUUCCAAUAAUGUUUGGAUCCCUCCAAGCAAGGAGUGCUGGCCUCUCCCAGUUAUUCUGGGUACUGCAAUGAUAAAGGAAAGUAAGGUCACAUCAUCAAAUCUCUGCCAAGGGAAACACAUCUAAUGGCGAGACGGCAUGUCUGAAGCAAAUGGAUAAAAAUCUCAUUUCCAAGCUAUUGGAUCCAAAAUUAUGCAGAUUAAAAUCAAAUCC